CCCUAACAGAGUCUUCUUGCGGGUCCCUUAGGGAUCCAAUAUCCACGCUAUUGGCCAGCUUGAUGUCAUCUUCUGUUCUUCGCCUGAUGAAGACGGGCUUUCCACGCCACUUAACUGUAACUGUAGUUCCUGGCUCGAUGCUACCAAGGUCAACCUCGAGGGAUGCAAGGGCCAGGACAUCUUUACUUGCAGACAUGCUCACAACAAGCUUCAGAACAAGAAGGCGGAUAACAGAGGCAUAAACAAACCUCCCACCCGACAAGACAAAAUAGGCGAAUGCACGCUUGCUAGGAUCACCAGGUGGGUAACGCUCAUGGUUAUGGUCAUCAUACACAAUCUUUGAGUUAGGUGUUUUGACAGCUUCCACGGUGGCUGGGACUUCCGAACCAAACCCUAUCUCAUUUCCUUGAGCAAGGACUUGGGAAGAGAAACCUGCAAAUAGAAUGUAUUAAGCUCACUACCACUGGAAAUUAGUGUGAAACACAAUUACAUAAACACAGAAUCCAUGAGGUAUGAGAUGCAGGAGUAUGAGAAAUUCAUCCAAGAAAAUAAUACUCAUCAACCCAAAACUCAAGAAAACAAAUUCAAUUAUCAAAAUCUUAGAUAUCAGGCAGCCAGUGUUAACCAAACUAAGGAUUACAUCCACCAAGGAUUUACAAGCAGGAAGCUUUCUUCAUCAUACAAAGGAUUAUCUAAGAACUUGUCAAUUCAUAUUUUCGAUUAAUAAACUCAAAUAUCUAUUUCCUUCAGGAUGAAAGAAGUGAUCACAGAAGGAGCUUGCAAACACUAAAAGCAUAAUGGAGAAGCACAACAGACUCAUUCAAACAAUUCUACCAUGAUAUCAAAUUCAGUUGAAAACACAAGAAAACUCCAAAGCUAAGAUUGCAAAUAGCUCUUUCGCUUAACAAAACAUAAUUACAAGGGUGCAAGUUCCUCCACAUACCUUUACAGACAUAGUAUACAGUUAACACAUCAACGUCCCUAAUAAUGAAGAAUACAAUGACACACAAAAUAAAAAAUAUAAGAAAUGAAGAUGCCAAAGUGAAUCACACUAACGCAUACCAAGGUACAAACAUGAAGACAAUUGGGAAGCUUUUCACGGCAAACAAAGGAGAAUCUCGGAACUGGGCAAUUUAUAUCCGAUCAAUCUAACUAAAAUGAUCAUUUCCAUCUGGACAAAGAUGUAAUCAUUAAAGGCAUAACCAUUCCAGUAAGGAGAAAUGGUAAAUCAAGCUAUUACACACCGUCUAGUUCACGAAAUUCAAAUGAGAUAUCACGUUUGUUCGCACGGAUCAUCGCCCAGAUAAAAUAAUAGUAAUCUCAUACAAGCUAAAAGAAAUGAUUUUUAUUUUCUAAUGUUGAAUCAUUCGAUCAAUGAAUCUGUAAACAGCAUCAGAAAUGAAAAUCAAUCAAUCUACGAGAAAGUGUUGUAGAUUAGCAGACCUCUUAUAAGGCUCCGUUGGUAAGAACUGAAAGAUGAGAGAUCUGCAGAAGAGACGGAUCUGGGCGCUGACGCGGAGUCGCCUCCAUCGGAAAGGGUGUGGUCACGGGAGACGACGAAGGAGGUCGCAGUCGAAGAUCUCUGCGAAACAGAUAAAAGCCUCCUCCCUGCAACUCGCAGCAUCUCUGCUCAAUGGGUAAUGGCCGAAUCUAGGGUUUCGCUCAGAGCAAGAAGAACACAAUCCUCAGGUUAGGAACGGCCGAUGCUAACAGAAGAAUAGUCCCUUUAAAAUUGUCUUCGAGAAAAGGUCAAUUUGUUUUUCUGUUUUUUUUUUUGCUUCCUAAUUACCUUUUAAUUUAUAUUUAUAGAUAUUAAAACAUACUUACAUGAUUUUAAUGGAAUUUUGUUUGUUUUACCAUAUAGUUUAGUUCAAAAUAAUAUAAUAAUGGGCACAGGGAUAAUAUGUGACAUAAAUAUAUAAAUUUCAGUAUAAUAAUAAAAGUAGAUAAAAGACAAAAUAAUAAUUUUUGAAAAACAGACUAAUCCUUUUUUUUUUGGUUGGAAACUAUACUACGUAAUUGCUAUUCUGCAAAUCUGUAGUAUGUUGCGACGAUGAAGUUGAUUUGAAUAUUUUUAAGAGAGCCGUGUCUACAGUGACCCACUCACCAGGUUCUUCGCGUUCUCUCAAACGAGAGGUCAAGGUAAGUAGGACAUUCUUUAACGUGCAGUCUGUAGUCAUACUCAUAGGUCACACCACUCACCAGCGACAAUAUAAACAGCCUCGAACAAAAGGAGGACAUCAUUAUCGCUCAUAGAAGUUGUAAACUUGUAAUCAUGGAUAACCAACUAAACGGGCAAAUGAGGCUAAGAUACAAUCAGAAUUCAGAAGAAUGAUGCCAUUCAUCAAAGAAGUUGAGAUAUUUGUUGGAUUAGGAGCCUUCUCACUCUGGAAAUGGGAGAAAGUUUACGGCUUACUUUGAAGUUUCUUCGAAAUGUCAUCUCCAUGAAAGAUUGAAAACGUUCACAAACACCUUCAACCAUAACAAGUGUCUGCGGCUAGAAACUUAAGGUAUGAAAGGAAACUCUCUUACAUACGAUAUAAAUACUGCUAGAUAAGAAAAAUAGGCAUGAUACUAUUCAAAAAUUCUUUUCAAAUAAUAGACAGAGACUAUGAACAAUGUCUUUCACCAGAUGGGACAGAUAGAGAUACUAAGUCAUACAAAUGACAAGUUUGUAUUAUUCAGCAAAACAAGACAAUCUUGCUGAGAGACCAGUAGUGUGAGGAAAGCGAACUUGCACGCUAAAAUGCCGGGAAAAUAUCAAAACAAAAACAUAUUAAGAUCAUUCAGACCAAGACACUGACUCUUCUCUUGUACUUUAUUCAUUAACCAAUGAGUAACUUAUUCUCUUCCAGGAAGCUGUACGUCGGUACUUCAAGGUUGUAUGGUGCAGGACCUUUCCGAAUUCGUCCAGAGAUAUCGUAAUGUGAACCGUGACACGGACAAAACCAACCUCCAUAAUCACCAGCAUUAGGCAAGGGGAUGCACCCCAAAUGAGUGCAGACUCCAACCACGACUAACCAUUCUGGAUUCUUGACCCUAACCGAGUCUUCUUGUGGGUCCCUCAGGGAUCCAACAUCCACGCUAUUGGCCAGUUUGAUGUCAUCUUCUGUUCUUCGCCUGAUGAAGACAGGCUUACCACGCCACUUGACUGUAACAGUCGUUCCUGGUUCGAUGCUCCCUAGGUCAACCUCAAGGGAUGCAAGGGCCAGGACAUCUUUACUUGCAGACAUGCUCACAACAAGCUUCAGAACAAGAAGACGGAUAACAGAGGCAUAAACAAACCUUCCACCCGACAAAACAAAAUAAGCGAAUGCACGCUUGCUAGGGUCACCAGGUGGGUAACGCUCAUGGUUAUGGUCAUCAUACACAAUCUUUGAGUUAGGUGUUUUGACAGCUUCCACGGUGGCUGGAACUUCUGAACCAAAACCUAUCUCAUUUCCUUGAGCAAUGACUUGGGAAGAGAAACCUGAAAGAUUGCAUGAAACAUUAAUAUAUUCACAUCAAAGAAAACUUUGAUUUAGGUCAGGUGUUCAACAACAAUAAGUAUUAAGCAACAAAACGUUCAAGAAACGACUACCACAAUCAUGAUUUGGCAUUAAUAUUACGGAUCUCAAGAAAAACAUUAGUAUAUAAAAGAGGAAUCCAUAAGAUAAAAGACUAAUGCAGGAGUAUAACAGUUUCAUCCAAACAAUUUCAAAUAAAACUCAGUGACAACUAAACUCUAUUUAAAUGAAAAAUCAAAGAA
rnacentral:lncRNA from 1 species